UUAGGUGAGCUGUUUCUAAACAGCCCCAGCACAAUCCUCCUAAACAGCCAAAGCUAAAUAAGCUGGCCAAGUUAAGGAAGAUGACAGCUCCAGUAACUUCCUCUUCCUCACCAACCUCCCCCGCUCAAGCGUGUGCACGCCUCCCCCCGCCCUCCCCCCCCCCGCGCGCGCCCGCCCGCCGGGUAAAACAUUUCAAACGCAAAAAUCCUUCCAAUCCCACAAACACCAUCGGCCAAAGAAGCCCGUUUCCCUUUCUUCCACCUCCCGUCCAAGGAGAUUUUUUUCCCUGGGGGGGGGGGGGGCUGGGGGGUAUAAUCUUAGCAACGACAAAGUACUUGCAACAAAACCUGAAAA